UGGGCAAGAUACAGAUUCGUGAUAGCUAUUUCUUUCUGUUUGAAGAGCUCCUUUGAAAUCACCUCUCCCCAUCUUGGGUUCUCAGGUCAUCUCAAGGCGUCGGUCAGCGCGGCAGAGUCGGGAACCUGCCAUCCUAGAGCAAUACGCCCCGAGUGACAGCCCUGACAACCGGAGUGAUGGAUCGGGACUGGAAAAGUGGUGCUGGGAGCCAGGCAGUGACACCAGCGCGCCUCCACUGGCCGCCGAGCGCACGGAGAAGUGGGCUCCCCAGAGUUCGGCACCCAAAGGACCAACUUCGCCUCCGGAAAAGCGGCGGAUCCGGAACUUGGAUGUCAGGACUAUGACUACGUAAAAUCUCUGCCCAGGGCGAAGCUAGCAAUGCACACUGUAUCAGAAAGGCGCAGGGAGUCGGGAAGGGUAUUGUUAUUUUUAAUUAAAAGUUUUUAUCCCGAAAUUUGCCUGGGGAAAGCAAGUGCUUUUUCCCCCGGAGUGAGAAGGAUGGGGGGGCGGAGGGGUUGUGUUGCCGAGCAGCGCUUAGAGAGAGAUCCCCCUCCAGGGACACCCGCCUCGCCCGUGAUCUCGGUCUCUCCUCGUAGCAGCUGGGCGCGGUACAGUGAGGAACUUCACGCCCCUCAGCAGGACACGGUAAGAAGCCUGUAACACACCAGACACCGAGCCUCUAACGCAGGGCGCAGGCACAGCGCGCACAGCCUGGGGUCCCGCGCUUGGUCGCCGACCAUGUCACUCCAGAAGGGAGACAAACUUGCAGGCUUCAGACAAGACGGGCUCAAAGUAGUUGGAGCUGCCUACGCCGCGUCCCGAGAACAGUGGGUGCCUCCGAGGCUCGGGCGCUUCCAAGUGAACACACCAAGGGGAGGCCAAGUAGGGGAAGGAGAGCGGGGCCGAGGAGAGCCGG
rnacentral:lncRNA from 1 species